rnacentral:rRNA from 1 species
UUCGCAAUGCCCGAAAGGGUGACGAAGCGACGCCACGUGUGGGAAGAAGGCCUUCGGGUUGUAAACCACUGUCGGGAGUUAAGAAAUGCAAGGAUAUGAAUAGUGUCUUUGCUUGACUAAGGCUCCGGAGGAAGCCACGGCUAACUCUGUGCCAGCAGCCGCGGUAAUACAGAGGCGGCAAGCGUUGUUCGGAAUUAUUGGGCGUAAAGAGCACGUAGGCGGCUAUGUAAGUCGGUUGUGAAAGCCUUCCGCUCAACGGAAGAACAGCAUCCGAUACUACAUGGCUUGAGUGCGGGAGGGGAGAGUGGAACUUCUGGUGGAGCGGUGAAAUGCGUAGAUAUCAGAAGGAACGCCGGCGGCGAAAGCGGCUCUCUGGCCCAUAACUGACGCUGAGUGUGCGAAAGCUAGGGGAGCAAACGGGAUUAGAUACCCCGGUAGUCCUAGCCGUAAACGAUGGGCACUAAGUAGAGGGGUUUU